UACGUAGGGGGCUAGCGUUGUCCGGAAUCAUUGGGCGUAAAGCGCGCGUAGGCGGCCCGGUAAGUCCGCUGUGAAAGUCAAAGGCUCAACCUUUGAAAGCCGGUGGAUACUGCAUGGCUAGAGUACGGAAGAGGCGAGUGGAAUUCCUGGUGUAGCGGUGGAAUGCGCAGAUAUCAGGAGGAACACCAAUAGCGAAGGCAGCUCGCUGGGACGGUACUGACGCUGAGGCGCGAAAGCGUGGGGAGCGAACAGG
rnacentral:rRNA from 1 species